rnacentral:rRNA from 1 species
AUUGAACGCUGGCGGCAGGCUUAACACAUGCAAGUCGAACGCAUUGCGGACGGGUGAGUAAUGCUUGGGAAUCUCGCCUAUGGUGGGGGAUACCUACGGGAAACUGUCGCUAAUACCGCGUACCAUAGGAUGAGCCCAAAGUGUCUUAGGUAGUUGGUGAGGUAAAGGCUCACCAAGCCGACGAUCUCUAUCUGGUCUGAGAGGAUGACCAGCCAGACUGGGACUGAGACACGGCCCAGACUCCUACGGGAGGCAGCAGUGGGGAAUAUUGCACAAUGGGGGCAAACUGACACAGCCAUGCCGCGUGAAGGAAGAAGGCCUUCGGGUUGUAAAGUUCUUUCGGUAGGGAAGCGUUAACUACAGAAGAGGCACCGGCUAACUCCGUGCCAGCAGCCGCGGUAAUAC